AGUGAACGCUGGCGGCGUGCCUAAUACAUGCAAGUCGAACGAGCGGAGCACGGGUGAGUAAUGUAUAGCUAAUCUGCCAUACACUAGAGGACAACAGCUGGAAACGACUGCUAAUACUCUAUAGUGUAGGUUGAGGCUAUAUUGUAUCAGCUAGUUGGUGGGGUAAUGGCUCACCAAGCCUAUGACGCAUAACUGGUCUGAGAGGAUAAUCAGUCACACUGGAACUGAGACACUGUCCAGGCUCCUACGGGAGGGAGCAGUAGGGAAUAUUGCUCAAUGGGGGAGUCCCUGAAGCAGCAACGCCGCGUGGAGGAUGACACUUUUCGAAGCGUAAACUCCUGUUUGUAGGGAAGCGGUACCUGACGAAUAAGCACCGGCUAACUCCGUGCCAGCAGCCGCGGUAAUUC
rnacentral:rRNA from 1 species